UUCCACCACCCGGCGGCCGCUCUGAGCAGUCUGAUAGAAACAUUACGCCUUUUGUCCUAAUUUUACUACUUCUCUUCUGAAGACAAUGACUCAUGCUGGGGUAUGGUUACACCUGCCUAUUCAAACCAGCAUUAAAAUAUUCUUUCAAAGUGCC